AUUAAUUAUCAAGAAUCUCUCUUCUUUAUUUUUGGAAAGAGAUAGCAACCUGCAUGCGUAAGCAAGGUGCUGCAAUCGAUAAGCCGAUAUAUUUAUUUUAUUAAAAUUAUAUCUUCGGAACAAAAACGCCUUAG
rnacentral:ncRNA from 2 species